UGGGGAAUUUUGGACAAUGGGCGAAAGCCUGAUCCAGCAAUGCCGCGUGUGUGAAGAAGGCCUUCGGGUUGUAAAGCACUUUUGUCCGGAAAGAAAUCCUUGGCUCUAAUACAGUCGGGGGAUGACGGUACCGGAAGAAUAAGCACCGGCUAACUACGUGCCAGCAGCCGCGGUAAUACGUAGGGUGCAAGCGUUAAUCGGAAUUACUGGGCGUAAAGCGUGCGCAGGCGGUUUGCUAAGACCGAUGUGAAAUCCCCGGGCUCAACCUGGGAACUGCAUUGGUGACUGGCAGGCUAGAGUAUGGCAGAGGGGGGUAGAAUUCCACGUGUAGCAGUGAAAUGCGUAGAGAUGUGGAGGAAUACCGAUGGCGAAGGCAGCCCCCUGGGCCAAAUACUGACGCUCAUGCACGAAAGCGUGGGGAGCAAAACAGGAUUAGAUACCCUGGUAGUCCACGCCCUAAACGNUNUCAAACUAGUUGUUGGGGAUUCAUUUCCUUAGUAACGUAGCUAACGCGUGAAGUUGACCGCCUGGGGAGUACGGUCGCAAGAUUAAAACUUAAAGGAAUUGACGGGGUCAUAGCUGUUUCCU
rnacentral:rRNA from 1 species